UCGCCUGUUUAUCAAAAACAUGGUUUCUUGAAAUUUUUAAGAAAUUUAACCUGCCCACUGAUAUUUUUUGAAGGGCCGCAGUAUAUUGACUGUGCAAAGGUAGCAUAAUCAUUAGUCUUUUAAUUAAAGGCUGGAAUGAAUGGUUGGACGAGGUAAAAUCUAUUUUAUUAUAAGUAUAUUGAAUUUGGGUUUUAAGUAAAAAAACUUAAGUAAUUUUAAGGGACGAGAAGACCCUAUAGAGUUUUAUAAAUAUAAUAUAUAAUUGGGUUAGUUAAAAAUUUUUGUUUAAUAUGAAGUUUAUUUAAUUGGGGUGAUUAGAAAAUAAAAUUAACUUUUCUUUAAUUUUGAUAUUUUGAUUAGUUAAAUGAUCCAUAUUUAAUGAUUAAAAGAUUAAAUUACCUUAGGGAUAACAGCAUUAUUUCUUUUGAGAGUUCAUAUCAAGAAGGAAGAUUGUGACCUCGAUGUUGGAUUAAGAUAAAUAUUGGGUGUAGAUGUUCAAUUAUUAGGUCUGUUCGACCUUUAAAAUCUUACAUGAUCUGAGUUCAAACCGGAGA
rnacentral:rRNA from 1 species